UAAGAAAAAGUCGGAUGUUAAAUCUUUGACUAAGGAUAGCAAGAUACCUAGCAAUUGUAAAGCUUUAGUACCACCACCUGUCAACCCAGAAAUUUGGCAAUUUUUAGCCUGUAGAGCUAAGACUGAGGAUUUGAUUUCUCAGAAUAUUCAAAAGCUAACAGGGGCAGGCAAUGGUCCCUUUGAUUAAGGUAGCAGAAUUAUUACGAGGGAAAAAUCCUUGUAUUAAGACAAUGAGAGAGUUAAUUUCAAGAGCUAUUUCUAUACAGUGUAAUUUGCAUUUUGAGUUAUCUAUUAAAAGGAGAAUGAAUUUGAAGCCUCAUAUUGAACGUAAAUUCCAUCAAUUGUGUAACAGAAAUGAGGUCGUGGGUGAAAAACUAUUUGGAGAUGAUAUUAGUAAAAGACUUCGGGAGAUUAAUGAUGCACAAAAGAUAAACAAAACUUUUAGUUCAAAAAACUACAGAGGCCGAUCCUAUCGGCGAGGGUACCGGUUUGGUAUGUCAAACCCAAGAGGCAAUUUCAGAGGGCAGAGCCGCUACCCAAGAGGGUCAUACAGGCAACCCAUGAUGAAUUCUCAAUACAGAAGAAAAAAUUGAAGUCAGUUGCCAAGAGUCCUACAGAAAAUAGAAGAGGACAAGCUAGUGGUUUACAGGAACGGUAUGGUGGACCAGGAGGAUCAGCUAUGGUUUUUCUACGUACAUGUUAUGAUGUAUCUAGCAUUUCUGCGAGAUGAAUGGUUUUUGGACAUUCCAUUUGGUUUUUUGCAACAAGAGUUUGCUGACAUUUGGAGUUGAAUCGCUAGCAGUUUUAGUCAAUAGAGAAAAUGUGAUAAUUUAAGAACAAUGAGAAAACAACAGUGUUAUUUUGUUAUAUUUGUUACAUGUGAGAGACAUUUAAAAGUGAACUUUAGAGUAUUAAUUGUUUUCUGAAGAUUGUAACAGAUUUUUGUUUUUGAACAUAAUAAAAGUUAUUAUGAAGCUUAUGUCUCUAUUCCACAAAACAAAGAAAUAUUCUAUUAUUUCAUGAUAGUCAUUGCAAUUCUGGGUAGUUUUGGAGUAAUGUUAUUGAGACAAAAUGUGAUAAUUUAUGAUCUACUACAUGUACAUAUUAUGUAGAGUGGUAGUUAGGUUUUCUACUAGAGGAUGUUUUAUAUUUGGUAUUAAUAGAUAAUAGAGACUGUUUAUGAUUUUGGUAUGAAAACAGAAACAUCUAACACAUGGAAUAAAAAGAUAGUAGAUAGACAUAUUGGUGAUUGUGUAUUCUCUUUCGUACAAGUGAUAUACAUGUAUGGAGACAGAUGAAUUUUCUUUUUAUCUGCAGUUAAAUACUUUGAUAUGAUUUAGGCUCAUACAUAGAUACUUGUUAAAGUAUGAGAGACCAAUUGUAUGGUUAUGGUGAUUGAUGUUCUUGUUG